rnacentral:rRNA from 1 species
AGAGUUUGAUCAUGGCUCAGAUUGAACGCUGGCGGCAGGCCUAACACAUGCAAGUCGAACGGUAACAGGAAGCAGCUUGCUGCUUCGCUGACGAGUGGCGGACGGGUGAGUAAUGUCUGGGAAACUGCCUGAUGGAGGGGGAUAACUACUGGAAACGGUGGCUAAUACCGCAUAACGUCGCAAGACCAAAGAGGGGGACCUUCGGGCCUCUUGCCAUCAGAUGUGCCCAGAUGGGAUUAGCUUGUUGGUGAGGUAACGGCUCACCAAGGCGACGAUCCCUAGCUGGUCUGAGAGGAUGACCAGCCACACUGGAACUGAGACACGGUCCAGACUCCUACGGGAGGCAGCAGUGGGGAAUAUUGCACAAUGGGCGCAAGCCUGAUGCAGCCAUGCCGCGUGUAUGAAGAAGGCCUUCGGGUUGUAAAGUACUUUCAGCGGGGAGGAAGGUGUUGUGGUUAAUAACCACAGCAAUUGACGUUACCCGCAGAAGAAGCACCGGCUAACUCCGUGCCAGCAGCCGCGGUAAUACGGAGGGUGCAAGCGUUAAUCGGAAUUACUGGGCGUAAAGCGCACGCAGGCGGUCUGUCAAGUCGGAUGUGAAAUCCCCGGGCUCAACCUGGGAACUGCAUUCGAAACUGGCAGGCUUGAGUCUUGUAGAGGGGGGUAGAAUUCCAGGUGUAGCGGUGAAAUGCGUAGAGAUCUGGAGGAAUACCGGUGGCGAAGGCGGCCCCCUGGACAAAGACUGACGCUCAGGUGCGAAAGCGUGGGGAGCAAACAGGAUUAGAUACCCUGGUAGUCCACGCCGUAAACGAUGUCUACUUGGAGGUUGUGCCCUUGAGGCGUGGCUUCCGGAGCUAACGCGUUAAGUAGACCGCCUGGGGAGUACGGCCGCAAGGUUAAAACUCAAAUGAAUUGACGGGGGCCCGCACAAGCGGUGGAGCAUGUGGUUUAAUUCGAUGCAACGCGAAGAACCUUACCUGGUCUUGACAUCCACAGAAGAAUCCAGAGAUGGAUUUGUGCCUUCGGGAACUGUGAGACAGGUGCUGCAUGGCUGUCGUCAGCUCGUGUUGUGAAAUGUUGGGUUAAGUCCCGCAACGAGCGCAACCCUUAUCCUUUGUUGCCAGCGGUUAGGCCGGGAACUCAAAGGAGACUGCCAGUGAUAAACUGGAGGAAGGUGGGGAUGACGUCAAGUCAUCAUGGCCCUUACGACCAGGGCUACACACGUGCUACAAUGGCGCAUACAAAGAGAAGCGACCUCGCGAGAGCAAGCGGACCUCAUAAAGUGCGUCGUAGUCCGGAUUGGAGUCUGCAACUCGACUCCAUGAAGUCGGAAUCGCUAGUAAAUCGUGGAUCAGAAUGCCACGGUGAAUACGUUCCCGGGCCUUGUACACACCGCCCGUCACACCAUGGGAGUGGGUUGCAAAAGAAGUAGGUAGCUUAACCUUCGGGAGGGCGCUUACCACUUUGUGAUUCAUGACUGGGGUGAAGUCGUAACAAGGUAACCGUAGGGGAACCUGCGGUUGGAUCACCU